rnacentral:lncRNA from 1 species
CCGCCGCCAUCUUCUUCUCGGAGCGCAUCCGCCUUACCUCGCCUCGUCCGCACCAAGCCUCGGCGACCCCUCCUGGACCGAGCCUCCGCUGGCCACCUCCGCCUCGAGCUGCCGGAGAUCGCGCCCGCCGCUUCAAGUCCCCUCUGCGUCCCGCGCCGCCGCGGCUCUGUUUCCAGUCGAGCAGAGGACGCCCGCUCGUCUUUCCCGUUGACUGUGUGCCGCCCGCGUUGGCCUAUCCAGCCACUGGCCCAGCUCCAGCCACUCCCGCACCGCAUCAGGCCCAGAUCUGCCAGCUCCCUGGAGCCCAAUGUGAGCAGCGCAGAUCCAUCUAUUUCGGCCCGGCUACAUUUUUUUCCCCUGCUGAUGAUUUUUCUAUUUGUCCAAUGCAUGCAUAAUUACAGGAAUGCCACUGUUUUGUAUUGUUAAUAACUAAACAUGCAUGCAUCCAAAUUAAACAAACUAUAUAUGUAAAAUGCUUAGAAUUUCAUCUAGUUUCAUAAUAUGCCAUUUUCAUCCAUGUUUAAAAUGUUUAACUUGUUGUUUGUUUAAAUUUGCUAACAUGCCAUGUUAAAAUGCUUUAUUUCAUAACUAAAUAGCCGUAGCUCCAAUUUUAAUAAACUUUAUAUGUAAAUGGGGUGUAAAAAUGCCUAGAUUAACUUGGUGCACUCAUCUUUCAUGUUUAACAACAUUAAAAUAUGGUUUAGGGCAGAACAGUACCAAAUCUAAAAUAUGCACAUGGGGAUUUUCCGGACUUGUUGUUUAUUAUUCCGGCCUCAUUUAAAUUUGCCUAAAUAGAUGACUUUAUUAUGUUUCACCUCUUGCCAUGUUUAACAACAUUUAAUAUUGUUGGGUACAUAACCGAGAUCAAACUAAAUAAUUGCAUGUGGUGUUUUGUCAAUAUGCAACUCGUUGCAUAUUGAGCUCCACUUAAUUUGUAGUAUUGUGUGUUGCAGUUUGCCAUGCCAUGCCUCUUUAAACCGGACAUGCAUCAUACUUGAUUGUGCAUCAUGCCAUGAUUAUGCUUGUGUGUUUACCAUGUUGUUUGUUUCUUUUCGGUGUUGCUUCUUAGUUCCGGUAAUGUUGCGAUUGUGAGGAUUCGUUCGACUACGUCCGCUUGUCUUCUUCAUGGACUCGUUCUUCUUCCUAGCAGGAUUUCAGGCAAGAUGACCGCUACCCUGGAUCUCAAUACUAUCAUUGCUAUGCUAGUUGAUUCGUUCUAUCGCUAUGUUGCGCUACCUAUCACUUGUUCUUCAAGCCUCCCAAAUUGCCAUGAACCUCUAACCUUUGACACCCUUCCUAGCAAACCGUUGCUUGGCUAUGUUACCGCUUUGCUCAACCCCUCUUAUAGCGUUGCUAGUUGCAGGUGAAGUUGAAGAUUGCUCCAUGGUGGACAGGAUUUUGGUUGGGAUAUCACAAUAUCUCUUAUAUUAUUAAUGCAUCUAUAUAUUUGGUAAAGGGUGGAAGGCUCGGCCUUAUGCCUGGUGUUUUGUUCCACUCUUGCCGCCCUAGUUUCCGUCAUACCAGUGUUAUGUUCCCGGAUUUUGCGUUCCUUACGCGGUCGGGUGAUUUAUGGGACCCCCUUGACAGUUCGCUUUGAAUAAAACUCCUCCAGCAAGGCCCAACCUUGGUUUUACCAUUUGCCUCACCACCACCUAUAUUUCCCUUGGGAAUAAUUAACCCAAGGGUCAUCUUUAUUACAGCCCCCCCAGGCCAGUGCUUGUCUAAGUGUUGGUCCGAACCAGAGCCACUUGCAGCGCCACCUCGGGGAAACUCGAGGGCUGGUUUUAGUUGUACGUAGUGUUCAUCCGGUGUUUCCCUGAGAACGAGAUAUGUGUAGCUCCUAUCGGGAUUGUCGGCGCAUCGGGCGGUCUUGCUGGUCUUGUUUUACCAUUGUCAAAAUGUCUUGUAAACCGGGAUUCCGAGUCUGAUCGGGUCUUCCUGGGAGAAGGUCUAUUCCUUCGUUGAUCGUGAGAGCUUGUCAUGGGCUAAGUUGGGACACCCCUGCAGGGUAUAAUCUUUCGAAAGCCGUGCCUGCGGUUAUUGGCAGAUGGGAAUUUGUUAAUGUCCGGUUGUAGAUAACUUGACACGAGAUCCGAAUUAAAACGCAUCAACCGUGUGUGUAGCCGUGAUGGUCUCUUCUCGGCGGAGUCCGGGAAGUGAACACGGUUUCUGGGUUAUGUUUGACGUAAGUAGGAGUUCAGGAUCACUUCUUGAUCAUUGCUAGCUUCACGACCGUUCCGCUUGCUCUCUUCUCGCUCUUAUUUGCGUAUGUUAGCCACCAUAUAUGCUUAGUCGCUGCUGCAACCUCACCACUUUAAUCCUUCCUUCCCUUUGAGCUUUGCUAGUCUUGAUACCAUGGUAAUGGGAUUGCUGAGUCCUCAUGGCUCACAGAUUACUACAACAACAGUUGCAGGUACAGGAUUCAUGCGAUGAUCAUGACGCGAGAGCGAUGCUUGCUUGCGUUGAGUUCUUCUUCUGCUUCUUCGAUCAGGGGAUAGGUUCCAGGUCGGCAUCCUGGGCUAGCAGGGUGGAUGUCGUUUGUGUUUCUGUUUGUGUUUCAUCUGUAGUUGGAUGAUGCUCUGAUGUAUUGUGAUGUUGUAUUCGUGUGGCAUUGUAUGCCUUAUGUAUGUAUCCCAUCUAUUAUGUAAUGUUGAUGUAAUGAUAUCCACCUUGCAAAAGUGUUUCAAUAUGCGGGUCUAUCCUUGGUGGGACCUUCGAGUUCCUUUUGGAUAGGGUCGCAUAUUGGGCGUGACAAGUUGGUAUCAGAGCCUCGACCGACCAUAGGAGCCCCCUUGAUUGUUGGCCGUUGUUGAGUGUAGAAGAAAACUAUUUUGAGUCUUAGGAUUAUAUAUAUCGGAGAGUAGGAUUCUUUUUACUCCUCAGCCCCUUCGUCGCUCUGGUGAGGUCUCCCGACGUAGAUGUUUUGACUUUCCUCUCCUCAAAUUUCACUAAUUUUUUUUUAGGAUCACGCGGGUAUCUUGGAAUCGUUCCGAUGGUUUUGUGACGAGAACAUUGUUCUUGGUGCCUCCUGUCUAUUUAUGUGGCUUUGACCCGGGGAGUCGAGCUCUGAGGUGUUGUCGUCACAAUUUUAUCGUUGCAGUUCUGGAAUACCUGAGAUUUGCCGACAUCGAAAAUCUCUUUUAUGCAGUUGUUGGUGAGAUAACACCGAUAACCCAGUACUGGGGCGAGCUCGGGAGUAUUGCCAUAGCUCGUAUAACGGAUGCUUUUCGAAGGUUGAGGUACACGAUUUCCGAAGGUUUCUUGGUUAUGUGUUGACGGAUGGAUACAGCUUAGAUGUAGGUAUUGUUAGUUUGGGUGAUAUAUAUUGCUUCUCCUGUAUCCCCAACACCAGAUUGCAUAACCAGAAAGUUUCGGGAGUUUUAUAGGUGGGAAUUCAAGUAGCUCCUAGAAUAUCUUUUCGACAGAUGCAUGAUAUGAGAUUGGGGUUCGACGUCUAGUGGUCCGCCUUUCCACGGUCGUUUUUACAGUGGUCUCGUUGUGUCUUAAAGAACCCUUGGCUAUGCUGGUUCGGGGACACUUCGUAUGUCAUGUGCACUGCCUUGUACAUGAUGGUACUGUACAAUCGAGCCCGUGUGGGCCCCACCACGAAAACUUCGGACGAAAUCUCUAUCAUAUGUUUGUUCCGGCUUAUUCUGCAAGCCAAAUCCUUUGUUUUUGUUUUAUUUGUGGUAUUCGAGUUGCUUCGAUGUCAAGUGUUGAAUCCAUACCUUUCCUAAACGGUGUUCUCAUAUUGCUAUGUGAAUACUAAUCCUUUUGAUCAUUGAGGUUGUCAUGUUAAUUCUUUUCCAACUGGUGCGCUUCUCUUCGAGAUGAUCCCAUCAUUCUCCCCAUCCGCAAGAUCAAUUCUAAGUUUUCUCAAUGGUGUUUGUUCCGUUUUCCCAAGUUGCCUUUGUUUUCCCGCCCUCCCACCCUUUUUCUUCAAGGACUCAGAUAUCUUAAUCAAGCAUCCAUCUUAUGGAUGUGAAGUUUCUCCAUUCUUUUCCCGUCAAUAUUCUAAUCCGGUGAUCCCUCGUGAAGAUGCUCAACAGUUUCAAGUUCAUCAAUCUUCAUCCUCGUAUUCUUUUCCGGUGGAUCCAAUUCAAGCUUUCAGUGUCGAUCAUAUCCUUUCCUCGUUUCAAAUAUUUUUUCUCAUGCCGGUGUAUCUCUUGAUCAUUCACCUCUCGCUUACCAUUUGUUUCGGUGUGCUGAAGAUACCUCAAAAGUUUCGUGUUAUCAUUCCUAAUCUGUUCAAGAUGUCUCGAGGUUGUUAUCUCUUUUGAAUCAUUUAAUUCAACCGGUGCAAUUUCCCUUUCUAGUAAUUUUUCGAAGGUGUAUCUUUUGAGUGGGCCCUAACCCACAGGUCUUUUCCCAGGAUCUUACCUGACUCUUCUAAUUUUCCUCGAGCCAUUCCCAAAUUCUUUUCCAAGUUUGACGUAAGAAUGAAUUCUCAUCAGUCACAUGCCUUUUCCAAGAUCGAUUUCAAAUCAUUUCAUUGUUGGCUCAACCUCUUCGCUUGUCAUCAUACCGGAGUAUCUCAGUAAUUUUGCUGGUGUUUCUCGUCAUCAUUCUCAACAUUUGAAGACCGAAGAAGAGUUUUUCCUCUAAAUCUUGGCCAUUCUCUUGAAGAUUCAUGGUUCUAGCUUGAUGCCAUCCUCUCAUAAUUGUUUUCGAUUGUGAGAAUUUUUUUCAUCCAUCCGAAGCAAUUCAAGAGACUUUUCAGAUUGAUUCUCCGUAGCCCAUCAUCUCAGAAUUAUUCAUUCAAGCUUUCAGCUCUCGUUCUCCAAAUCUUACCGGUAUCGUUCAAAUACCUUCUAAUCAGUUCAUGAUUUCUUUGUUCUCAUGUAUCUAAAUCCCCUCAAGUAUCUUCAUUCAUUUUCUAAUUCUUCCCGGUGUUUCUUUAUCUUUUCUUCGUUCAUUUUCAAUUCUUACGGUGGUUCAUUCAAGAUUCCUCUUCCUUUGUUAUCAUAUCAAUUCAUUCAUUGUUAACAAAUCCAACUGGUGGUUCCAUCAAGACCUUCCCAAGUUUAUGAUAUAUCUCUCUUAAUUCUUUCUACGAGAAUAAGUAGUAUGCCAAAUCCGUUGCUUGUCAUCAAUUUAAAUUGGUGAAGGAUACGCAUACCGUAAUUCUUAUUCUUGUUUCAUCCAAGUGAUUAAUUCCUUCUUCCGGAGAUUGUUCAUGAUGAAGUAAUUCUCGGUUCUAGUAUUCAUCUUUUCUUUCCGGAGUUCCAAGUUCUCUCGGUUAUAUCAUCGCAAAGCUCCAUCUAAAUCAUCGCAAGGCUUCACCUUGUUCUUUCAACUUCUCUUCCUUUCUAUCAUCCUUUUAUUACCAGAGCUCUUCAUUGAGGCUCUACAUGGUGGUUCGUCAAGGAUUCUUUUCAUUCUUCAAUUGUUCUUCAAGAUUUCUCUUGAAGUUAAGAUCCGCCAAGCUAUACUCAAAAUUAAACAUGGUGCUAAACACAUGUCUUGUUUUGAGAAGCUCAAGUAUUCUUCAUCUUGCAUUCCAAAGUGCAAUUCUUUCUACCUUAUCUUUUGAGAUGGUGUUAUAUCAUUCUUGACAGUUUCCCUUCAAGUUUUAUGAUUCGCAAGUUGUCAAGAAUGAGAUAUGGUAAAACCAUCAUUUUCUCUCCGAUCAUGAAUUGUUUCAACCCAUAUUAAUCUCUUCGUUGGAGUUAUCUCGUGUCAUAUUUCACCUAAAGCCUUCCCUAAGGAAUGUUGCUAUUGUGGUGCUUAUCAAUGAUCCAGGUUUUUUUCUGCUAUCCUCUCGGCAAAAGGAGUUGUCAUCUUCUUGUUGUCCUCAAUCCAAUCUAUUGUUUCCGUUAGUGGCAGAAUUUCGCCUCAAUUUUGGGAUGUUUUCCAUAAGCCCACUACAAGCUUAUUCUUUUCGUUGUUGGCUUUCCAACAACCUCGUUGUAACCAUCUUGGAAGGAUGCUUUCCAAGCUCACUUGUGGCAGAAGUUGGCUUUUUCUCCUACAUUCUGUUAUUCCAAUGAUCUAUCUUCUAUUCUUUCUUUCGGAGGCAUUGUAAUGUUGCUCUUUUCACUCAUAAUCUCAAUUGUGAGGAUCGUGUUCUUUUCUCUCUUAUCCAUUUAACCGGUGUGUCGUGUUUUCAUUCGAGUUCUCUCAUCUUAUCAAGUUUUGCCUCCUUCCUCAACCGGAGUGCUGUCUGAAAUCUUUCUUACCCCUUGUGCCAUUCUUUCAAUAGUUUCGGAGGUAGUGUGUUGUUGAUCUCAUCAAGUAUCCUCUCAUCUUGUAAGUUCAUGUUCUAUUCCUUCCAUGCUCAACCGGAGUGCUGCCCGAAUUCUUCCUCUCCUCCAUCUAGUUUUAACCGGAGUGGUUUCAAUAUCUAUCUUAUCACUAAACCUCUUGGUUCUCGUCGUAUCCCUUGUUCCUCUUUUCUAACGGAGUGUUUUCAACUUUGCUCAUCUUCGUUGUAUUCUUCCUUUCAUUUUGCUCAACCUCUCAAGGUUCGUGGUUUCACUCAUUGGUCGAAGAAGCAACUUAGUUUUACCGCUUAUCUUCCUCUUCCUUUUCCCUACGGUGCCAUCCUAGAUCUCGGGACGAGAUCCUCUCGUAGUGGUGGAGUGUUGUAACGCCCCGGAUACAACUUUCCAUAUUCGUAACUCCAACUCUUGCCUUUUCCGGAGAUGCUAUAUGAUAUUUCCUUCGUGGUUGGGUUUUUGUCGUUUGUUUUGCAUUUUGUUCUUGUUAUGCAUCUCAUCUCAUAGCAUCAUGUGCAUCGCAUCCAUAUGUUUUCAUAAAACUUGCAUCCGUUCGGGUUCCACCGGUUCUCUCCGUUGUCCUUUCUGAGCCCGACCACACUCGCACGCGCCCGCGGCACCUCCGAAAUAUUAUUUUAUAAGUGGCAUAAAAAUGUUCUCGGAAUCGGUUGCAACUUGUCGUGCGGUCUUAUUAUAGUGUAGACAGGCCGCCUGCCAAGUUUCAUCGCAUUCGGAGUUCGUUUGACUUCCCAACCGUUAUAUUUAUAACCGCAAUAUAGCCGGUCUAUCGUCGGACGUUUUCGGUAUCCGGAAACCGUGCCGGGCCACACUUCAUCCCUCUCUUCUCAGCCCAAGGCAUUCUACACAGCCCCCUAGGUCCAACAUACCCCCCCCCCCUCACGUCUGGAGCCGCCAGAUCGAGAUCCGAGGGUCCGACCCCCCUCUUUCGUGCGUCUGAAAACUUCCCCGAACCCGACCCGCUCAAUCAUCACCGUUGCAUUCAGAUCAUCCCCAAACAUCUAUAAAAUAUCUCUAUUUUCUUUAUUGGACUCCCUAGCCUAUUUUUUUCCCGUCCGUCCGGUUUCGAUCGGAGGGGCUAGUUUCCCUACCCAAUUCUUACCUGCUAUAUAUAGCAGAUGAAACCCUACCUAAACUAGUCCAACCCUAAAACCUAGGGAGCCUGUUCGGUCGCGCCGCCGCCACCUCCCACCUCAGGAUCCCUCCAAAUCCCAUCUGACCAAUCCUCUCGCGCAGCCACUUCCAGCCAACCAACCCGUGCAACCCUGGCCCCGCUUGAUCUGGUUCGAACCGAGGCAGCAGCCCCUCGCCCGAGCCUCUCCUCCGUUCCCGUCGCUGCCGGCGACGAGCCGCAGCUCGCCGGGGCACCCAAACGCCAUCAGCAACGAAGCCGGCAGGACCCGUCUCCUUCCCCCGUGUUUCUCCUUCCUCCUGUUUCUCUCUCCCUCUUCCCUCGCCUCACGUCUCUCCCUGUUGGUUGUCUAGGGAACAGCCAUGGUCGCCCGAUGGAGCUCCGGGUCAAGCCAUGUCGCCGCCGCCGUCCUGGAGCUUCUUCGCCGCUGGUGCCCGUCUUCAGCGCCCCAAAUCCAGCCGGCGUCUGCUCCUGCAUCGAGCAGGGGAGCGAGGAGGAGGAACCCCCAGCUCCCGUUGCCAUCUUGUUCUGUUCGUCGUCGUCUUCAUCCGAUCGGACAAGGCCCUGUGUCUCCGGCAUCGUCCCCGCCUCCAGGUCGCCGCGCCUCCACCCGCCGCCAUCUUCUUCUCGGAGCGCAUCCGCCUUACCUCGCCUCGUCCGCACCAAGCCUCGGCGACCCCUCCUGGACCGAGCCUCCGCUGGCCACCUCCGCCUCGAGCUGCCAGAGAUCGCGCCCGCCGCUUCAAGUCCCCUCUGCGUCCCGCGCCGCCGCGGCUCUGUUUCCAGUCGAGCAGAGGACGCCCGCUCAUCUUGCCGGUUGACCGUGUGCCGCCCGCGUUGGCCUAUCCAGCC